rnacentral:rRNA from 1 species
CCAGACUCCUACGGGAGGCAGCAGUGGGGGAUAUUGCACAAUGGGGGGAACCCUGAUGCAGCGACGCCGCGUGGGUGAAGGAGUGCUUCGGCAUGUAAAGCCCUAUCGGCAGGGAAGAAGCAAGACGGUACCUGACUAAGAAGCCCCGGCUAACUACGUGCCAGCAGCCGCGGUAAUACGUAGGGGGCGAGCGUUAUCCGGAUUCACUGGGUGUAAAGGGAGCGUAGACGGCCAUGCAAGUCAGAAGUGAAAGCCCGCAGCUCAACUGCGGGACUGCUUUUGAAACUGUAUGACUAGAUUGCAGGAGAGGUAAGUGGAAUUCCUAGUGUAGCGGUGAAAUGCGUAGAUAUUAGGAGGAACACCAGUGGCGAAGGCGGCUUACUGGACUGUAAAUGACGCUGAGGCUCGAGAGCGUGGGGAGCAAACAGGAUUAGAUACCCCUGUA